rnacentral:rRNA from 1 species
GACGAACGCUGGCGGCGUGCCUAACACAUGCAAGUCGAGCGGAGGUGUAGCAAUACACCUUAGCGGCGAACGGGUGAGUAACACGUGGAUAACCUGCCCGUCUGACCGGGACAACACUUCGAAAGAGGUGCUAAUACCGGAUAGGGCGCUUUGGCCGCAUGGCUGAAGCGGGAAAGGGGGCGCAAGCUCCCGCAGGCGGAUGGAUCCGCGUCCCAUUAGCUAGUUGGCGAGGUAACGGCUCACCAAGGCGACGAUGGGUAGCCGGCCUGAGAGGGUGGCCGGCCACACUGGGACUGAGACACGGCCCAGACUCCUACGGGAGGCAGCAGUGGGGAAUCUUCCGCAAUGGACGAAAGUCUGACGGAGCAACGCCGCGUGAGUGAAGAAGGUCUUCGGAUUGUAAAACUCUGUCGGGUGGGACGAAUGAGCAGGAGGUAAACAGCCUUCUGUUGUGACGGUACCACCGAAGGAAGCCCCGGCUAACUACGUG